AUGACAACAACAUUUUGUCAAAAACUCAACAUGAGUGUAUCAUUAAAUCAGCUUUUCCUGGAAAUUCCUGCUCUUCCUGUGAUGGAGGGAGAAGCUGUAACUCUGACUUGUAAAAACAAGACGACUUCCUCACAGACAUCAGCUCAUUUUUAUCAAUAUGGACACUUGAUCAGUAACAGUUCUACGGGAAACAUGAUUAUUAACAAUGUUUCCAAGUCUGAUGAAGGACUCUACAAGUGCAGCAUCUCUGGAGCUGGAGAAUCAGCAGAGAGCAGGUUGAUCAUCACAGAUGGUCAAAAAGAGAUUUCCUCUUCCAGUUCCACCCCAUGGAUCAUUGUCACAAUUUUCCUGUUGGUUCUGCUGCUGGUGAUCGGGCGACUUCAGUUCAAAAGUUAAUGGCACAGAGGUAAAUAAAAUAAAGUAAAAAAUAAAUUACUGAACUAUUAAUUGUUGUAAGAGAUUAACACUUAUACAGUGCUACCUCACAACAAGUAAGUGUAAACAAACGAUGAAUAUUGAUUUGUAUUGUACUGUAUAUUGUUUAAGCAUUAACAUUAUUGCAUUAUUCAGUAUGUAUUUAGGACUAAUUUAGGUAUUUCACUUGAUUGAUUGUUAAGAAGACAGGAAUGGACAGUAAUUAUGUUGAUAAUCAGCAUGUUACUUAUUUGUAAAAAAAUAUUUUUUUUAGUAUAUCAGAUGUUGUUUUGUUGUAUCUUUCAAAGCUAAUUAUAGAGGAAGUUUUGGCACAAUUUUGUUCUACUUUGGUGAAACUGAGUAAUAUUCUCUCCGUUUAAGUUAAACCCUUUAUUGUAAAAAAAAGUCCAUUCUUCUUCUGGUUUUCUAUUGACGUUAUUUUUCCUUUAUUGCAGUAGUGUUUUACGUGUCCACCCUGAGACAUGGAUCAGGCUCAACUGGGAAUCAAACAGUUGCAAAAACUAAAAAAACUAAAUUAGGCCAUAUGAAAGUUUUGUUUGUUUCAAUGGUUUAAUGUUGUAUUAAAUGACACAGAUUCACUACUUGUGUAAAGUAAAAUCAAAAACAGUUGUAAUAAAAUGUUUUAUAGUAAAAUAAAUAUUUGUGUAUAUAACAUGUCUCUUACACUGCUGAUUUAUUUUUCAGUCUGUGAAAGUAUCGAUUCAACUGCUACAAGAGAAGAAGUUUAUGCUGUAGUAACAAAAAACUGAAAAAAUAAAGGUACAGUAUUUCACCAGCCAUUGUUGUUUUAAUUAUAUAUCUGCGCUGUACUACAUAUCCUAACAAGCACAUUACUCAAAAACAUUUUGAGUAAUAUCUACAUUAAUUUUAGUUAAAAUGUUUCAGAUGUCCCUUAUAGAUUUUUUACAC
rnacentral:lncRNA from 1 species